AGGGCGCGCUCGAGCUAUGAAUCUCGGAAAUUACUCAAACCAUCAGCCUCUGCAAGAAGCAAAGUGGACGGCCGGGCGCGGUGGCUCACUCCUGGAAUCCCAGCACUUUGGGAGCCCGAGGUGGGCGGAUCACGAGGUCAGGAGAUCGAGACUGUUCUGGCUAAACCAGUGAAACCCCCUCUCUACUAAAAAAAUAACAAAAGCGAAGUGGAUCUCCCAUAAACGAGGUACUGCAGGAAGAAAGCAGAAAAUGAGACCCGAGUACACACAUGCACGCGGGCGCGCGCACACACACACCAGAAGAAAUGAACCAAGAGGAAAGGAAACAUUUUCAAAUAAGCAUUUGGAGAUGGGAAAAACACCUUGAAACAGAAAUUCAUAAAGUACAGAAUUUUU
rnacentral:lncRNA from 1 species